GUUGGGCACGAUGACAUGCACCUGUAGUCCUAGCACUUGGGAGACUGAGACGGGAGGACCCCUUGAGUCUAGGAGUUUAAGGCCAGCCUGGGCAGCACAGCAAGACCUUGUCUCCA
rnacentral:sRNA from 1 species